GCUUAUUUUCCUUGGGUGUAUUGUACUUUUCAUCUCCCUAUUCCUUGAUGUUGUGAGUAACUGUUAUUAAUUCAAGUCUUCUAGACAGGUUGCAGGUUGCUGCUUCACUAACAAGGAAGUCGAUGCUCAUAUACCCAAUUACCCCAACUUGCCACCACAUUUAAUUUGUCAGCUUCACAAUGUGACUAUGCAUGACUGGAUUAAAUUACUAAAAGAAACGGUGUUGCAAUUUUAAAGUGUGGCCAACCUUAAAGGUUCUACCAUUAUAGGAAAAAGUGUUUCUUCAUAGCCUUGUGGACUAAGUUGAGGAGAAGAAGGAACCACCAAGAACCAGACACAGUAAGAGGUACAAAUUCAUAGAUUUCCUUAGUAGUUUACGAUUCCGAUUUUUCGUUUUCAUUUCUUAGGAUGGCUAUGAAUUUGUGGGGCGUUUUAUAUAGUUUUAAUCUGUGUUUAGGGACUAUAAACUUUCAUUAAGGGGUUGUGAA